rnacentral:lncRNA from 1 species
GGCCUGCAGCUGCCUCCGGAGGCUGGAAUGCCCGGGGGAAGCACCACCGUGCUGGUUCUGCUGCAGAGGCUGGGCUGGCAUGUGGGCUGGGGCUUGUCCUAACACUGGGACCCUGGCAGGUCUCUGGGAUUGCAAGCAGGAAGCAGACCAGGUCACCACAGGAAGUCAACCAACCUGCUUCAUUCCCCCUGAGACAUUUCAUCUUCAUCUUAAGGGAUUUUGGGCAAACGUCUCUUCUUCUGGAGCUACUUCCUGCUGAAGGCAAGUGUCAUUC